UGGAGGAGCAAGAGAGGAGGUGGAGAAAGAGGUGAAGAAAGAAGAGGAAGAGAAAGAGGUGACGAAAGAGGAGGAGGUAAAGGAGGAGGAGGAGAAAGAGGUGAAGAAAGAGGAGGAGGAAGAGGAGGAGAAGCAGGAGGAAGAAUCAGAAUCCAGCAGAGCAGCAGAGGAGACAGCAGACGCUCAUCUGGAGGACGAUGAGGAGGAACCAGACUUCCCAGUAGAUCUGGAGAACUGCAUCACUCUGGAUGAAGUGGAAGAGUCUGAUGAGCCGGUUACUGAAGGAGAAGAAGAACAAGAGGAAGAAGGCAGAAAUGAACCGGAG